rnacentral:rRNA from 1 species
GAUAGGCCAGAUGUGGAAGUGGAGUAAUCCAUGGAGCUGACUGGUACUAAUAGGCCGAGCACUUGACUUAA